AGGAGGAAAUGCAGAAAGAAAAAAAAGUAGGAGGAAACAAAGGAAGCUGAAAGGUGUUUAAGACGUUGAGCGAGUGAGCUGUGUUUCACUUUAGACUUUUGGAGCGAAGGAAUUACACUAUACAUGGCUGGUGGUGAUGGAGGUGUUGGUGGUGAUGGUGGUGAUGAUGAUGGUGGUGGUGGUGGUGGUGAGCUUACUAAUGGUGAUGAUUCGCAAACAACACUAAUACUAAUAAUGAUAAUAGCGAUACAUGUGAUGAUUAAUCCUUGGUUGCCAACAGAUAGGCUUACAAAGAGUCCCUUCUUAGCAGACCGCCUUCACGCAACUCAGAUUGAAAACAUAACAGCGCCAGAUCGCAUUUGUUUGCAUAAAUAACUUGAUCGGCCGACCUCGCCGCGUGAUUGCUCCAGAGUGUUUUAUAAUAUGUGUUUUAAACGAGCCUAUGUUUUUUUCUUGUUUUUUUACAUCCCAACAAACUACGUAGCAUCGCUGUGAAGAAGCUGAGAGAGGGCAAAUUUACACACACACACACACACACACACACACACACACACACACACACAGACAUGACAGAACAGCUGCACCUAAACACACACACACACACACACACACACACACACACACACACACCAAGGCCUAGCAACGGUUUUUAACAUGUACAAUUGUCACUCAGCCAUGCCUCGCCAGCCGCCACCCCAAGUCCACGCCUGCCCCCCGCUGCACGCCACGCCCCGCCACGCCACUCCACGCCUCUUGCAGCCACUCCUUCAGGGACCUUUACCAGCAGGAUACACCAUUUACAGAGCACUGGCAUUUUCCAUCAGCAAGAAUUGGAGUUAGUCAGUCAACCUCACACGUCAACAAUUUCCAAAGGGCGAAAAGAAGAUCAAUCGGGUUCUCACAAUUGUUUAUUCACUUUCAUGGCACAGAAUAUUUACUUAAUUACUACCAGGGUCAAAAAACUACCCCUGGAAAUGCCUGCAGCUCCUAUGAAAGCCUUGUCAAAUGUGUGUAUGUGUUGGAACGCCGAAAUGUUUAAAAAUAAGCCCCAGAUCUGAAUAGCGCUAACAAAAACGAUUACGAGAACGCUAUUUACAGGUGAAAAUGAUAAAAUAGCACCUUAGAAAUGAUUGGUGGUAGUGUUAGGUAUUCGCUAUUACUGAUGAAAAUUUAUAUAGCUCUUCAGUAAUCAUCGGCGGUAGUGUUUGACCAUCGCUAUUUACUUAUGACAGCGAGAAUACCCGCUUCAUAAUAGUUGACGGUAGUGUUAGGUCGUCUGGGCUCGUCUCUGCCACCGCCGUCACCCCCGCGGCGCCACUCACUAAAAAGACGCAGGGAGGCGCUCUUUUUUUUUUCACCCUUUCUCCCUCAAAUUUCACGCCUUGUUUGCAGUGGACGAAAUAAGAGGCGCGUUUUUUACUCUCUCCCUCGCCCUCCCUUUCACGCGCGGCCUGUAAUUUCCAUAUAAGUUCUUACUAUUGUGUGUUAUUUUCCCGAAGCCAUAAUGUAAGGAAGGAAACGAUAGGUGCGCCGGUGGUUUUUCCUCUUUUUUUUUCCUACUUUCUCACCGUUCACACCAGGGUUCUAAUUUCCAUAUCCGUUCUUUGUUAUCGCUAUUCAUAUGAAGGUGAAAUAACAGGGCUUUUUUUCUUCCAUUCUAUUUCGUACGUCGUUGAGUUUCCAGAGGCGUAGUGGUAAUUAUAUUUUUUCUUCAUUGCUUUACUUUAUUAUUUUUUAACACCGUGGCAAGGCAGGGAGAAAAGUCAAGUGUGUGUGUGUGUGUGUGUGUGUGUGUGUGUGUGUGUGUGUGUGUGUGUGUGUGUGUGUGUGUUCUUGUUAUUGCUAUCUAUUUUAAAAGGAAGGAGUAGGUGUAGGAGUAGGAAGGAGUAGGUUUUAAAAGGAAGGAGUAGGUUUUAAAAGGAAGGAGUAGGUGUAGGAGUGGGUGUAGGAGUAGGAAGGAGUAGGUUUUAAAAGGAAGGAGUAGGUGUAGGAGUGGGUGUAGGAGUAGGAAGGAGUAGGUUUUAAAAGGAAGGAGUAGGUGUAGGAGUGGGUGUAGGAGUAGGAAGGAGUAGGUUUUAAAAGGAAGGAGUGUGUGUCAUUUUCCCCUCACUCCAUGUCACAUUUUCCAUUGAUUCGCGGUUUCAAGAUUUCUAUUCGUCAUUAUAUACUUCUUCUAUCAGCGUGACGAAGCAGAAAGGAAAACAGCCAUUACAUCAUUUAUCUCACUCCAUUUCACACACGUCCAUGUAUAUAUCAACUAGUUUUUAUAGCGUAUAGAAUUACGGCCAUUCUUUAUUUUCGUCAUUACUUUUAGCACCGUGACGCGGCGGGAACGAGAGGGAAGACAAACAGCAGCGAGUGGAGGCGCCUGUAGCUGGCACGAUGGAAGGCGCGGCGCAGCACACAUGAAAGCGGCCGUAAAUCAUUCGACGCGUGUUAUUUUUAGAAGCAGCAGGGCACACAGCAUCCCGCCCAGCGCCACUCCUCCACCCAACGCCGUGCACUCCCUGGUACACGCCCCUCUCGCACCCUGGGGAUCUGAGAGGCGUCGGGGCGUGCUGUAGGUAGGGGGAACGUGACUUUGGGGAGUAGGGAAGCGGUGGAGUGUGUUGACGGGGAAAGAAUGGUUAAAAGAGGGAAUGGGAUGGAGUUACAGAGGCAUGGUGAGUUAAAAAAGAGAACAACUUGGAUAUAAGAGUACGCAGAGGCAGUGGAGCGGACAAGGAAGAGGAUCAUGAAGUAUACGAAGGUCGGCAAGCUAGCGGAGGAACGUACCGUAAACAGAAGAAGCUUAGAGAUGAGAAGUGACGCGAGUGGAGAACCAUAGGAGUAAACAAGGGAAUAGGGUCAUGAAGUACAGAGGAAGGCAGGCAGGUAAGGGAAGAACCGUAACCACACAAUGAAAAACUUAGUGAUGGGAAGUGAAUCUGACGGAGCUGUGUUACCUGAAGCGUGGAGUGGGGAAAGAAAUUGAAGGAGGCGAGAGGAAGUAGAACAUGUAAGGAAGAGGGGGAGUAUGCGUAAAGAAAUUGGUGGUUAAGAACAAGGCAAUGGAGGGUAGAUGAGGAGUGUGAGUGAGAUGUGAGGUGACAGUGUGGGGUGAUGGAGGUGUGAGGUGCGGUGUUUACAUCCAGACAGGGGGCCACGUGAAGACCCCGACGCCUGCCAGGACUGACGGCCAGGCGUGGUGACUGAUGGGCGGGAGAACACGGAAGGAAGGAGGAGGGAACGAGA